AAUCGCUUCUUCCGGCGAGCUUCCGGCGAACUUCCGUCGAUCAUCCGAUGAACCCUCGGUGAUGCUCCUGCGGACUUCCAGAAAACUCCUGGACUUUAGAUGAUUCACUUGGCAAGUUUCGACGAGCUUCUUUGGCAAGCUCAUGGACUUCUUGGAUUUGUUCCCGCAGAACCUCCGACGACUGUCCGAACUUCCGUUGAACUCUCGAACUCCCAACGUGAUCAUUGUCUUGACUCCGGCGUAACUCCUGCUGCAUAUCUUACUUUCAUCGUAGUUAAUCCUGCAC
rnacentral:lncRNA from 1 species